rnacentral:sRNA from 1 species
AGCAGCCGCGGUAAUUCCAGCUCCAAUAGCGUAUAUUAAAGUUGUUGCAGUUAAAAAGCUCAUAGUUGAAUUUCGGGGUUAGUAGGUUGGUCAUGCCUCCGGUAUGUACUGGUCUCACUGAUUCCUCCUUCCUGACGAACCGUAAUGCCAUUAAUUUGGUGUUGCGGGGAAUUUGGACUGUUACUUUGAAAAAUUGAGUGUUUAAAGCAAGCUAACGCUUGAAUACAUUAGCAUGGAAUAAUGAAAUAGGACGUUCGAUCCUAUUUUGUUGGUUUCUAGGAUUGACGUAAUGAUUAAUAGGGAUAGUUGGGGGCAUUAGUAUUCAAUUGUCAGAGGUGAAAUUCUUGG